UACGGAGGUGACAAACGUUGUCCGGAAUUAUUGGGCGUAAAGGGCGCGUAGGUGGUUGAGUAAGUCAGGUGUGAAAGCUCUGGGCUUAACCCAGGAAUUGCAUCUGAUACUGCUCGGCUUGAGUACGGUAGAGGAGGGUGGAAUUCCCAGUGUAGCGGUGAAAUGCGUAGAUAUUGGGAGGAACACCGGUGGCGAAGGCGGCCCUCUGGACCGAAACUGACACUGAAGCGCGAAAGCUAGGGGAGCAAACGGG
rnacentral:rRNA from 1 species